UACGGGGGGGGCAAGCGUUGUUCGGAAUUACUGGGCGUAAAGGGCGCGUAGGCGGUCUGCUAAGUUGGAUGUGAAAACUCUGGGCUUAACCCAGAGCCUGCAUUCAAUACUGACAGGCUAGAGUUCUGGAGGGGAUAGCGGAAUUCCUGGUGUAGCGGUGAAAUGCGUAGAUAUCAAGAGGAACACCUGAGGUGAAGACGGGUUGCUGGGCUGACACUGACGCUGGAGGCACGAAAGCGUGGGGAGCAAACAGG
rnacentral:rRNA from 1 species